AUGGCUCAGAUUGAACGCUGGCGGCAUGCCUUACACAUGCAAGUCGAGCGGCAGCGCGGGGGGCAACCCUGGCGGCGAGCGGCGGACGGGUGAGGAAUUCGUCGGAAUCUGCCUUUUUGUGGGGGAUAACGUAGGGAAACUUACGCUAAUACCGCAUACGACCUACGGGUGAAAGUGGGGGACCGCAAGGCCUCACGCAGAAAGAUGAGCCGACGACCGAUUAGCUAGAUGGUAAGGUAACGGCUUACCAUGGCGACGAUGGGUAGGGGUCCUGAGAGGGAGAUCCCCCACACUGGUACUGAGACACGGACCAGACUCCUACGGGAGGCAGCAGUGAGGAAUAUUGGACAAUGGGCGCAAGCCUGAUCCAGCCAUGCCGCGUGCAGGAUGACGGUCCUAUGGAUUGUAAACUGCUUUUGUACAGGAAGAAACACUCCCUCGUGAGGGAGCUUGACGGUACUGUAAGAAUAAGGAUCGGCUAACUCCGUG
rnacentral:rRNA from 1 species